CCUACGGGAGGCAGCAGUGGGGAAUAUUGGACAAUGGGCGCAAGCCUGAUCCAGCAAUGCCGCGUGAGUGAUGAAGGCCUUAGGGUCGUAAAGCUCUUUUACCAGGGAUGAUAAUGACAGUACCUGGAGAAUAAGCUCCGGCUAACUCCGUGCCAGCAGCCGCGGUAAUACGGAGGGAGCUAGCGUUGUUCGGAAUUACUGGGCGUAAAGCGUACGUAGGCGGUUAUUCAAGUCAGAGGUGAAAGCCCGGGGCUCAACCCCGGAACGGCCUUUGAAACUAGGUAGCUAGAAUCUUGGAGAGGUCAGUGGAAUUCCGAGUGUAGAGGUGAAAUUCGUAGAUAUUCGGAAGAACACCAGUGGCGAAGGCGACUGACUGGACAAGUAUUGACGCUGAGGUACGAAAGCGUGGGGAGCAAAACGAGGUAUUAGACUACCCGUGGUACGUCCACGACCGUAAACGAUGAUAACCUAGCUGUCCGGGCAACUUGGUCGCCGUGGGGUUGGUCGGCGACGACGUACGUACGUACUUAAGUUACGUUACCGUCCGUCGGGUAGGUACGGUCGUCGAGAUAAACUAACAAUAGAGUAGUACGCGNGAGACGUGCGACGACGACGACGAGGAGGUAG
rnacentral:rRNA from 1 species